rnacentral:rRNA from 1 species
GAUCCUGGCUCAGGAUGAACGCUAGCGGCAGGCUUAACACAUGCAAGUCGAGGGGCAGCAUGGUCUUAGCUUGCUAAGGCCAAUGGCGACCGGCGCACGGGUGAGUAACACGUAUCCAACCUGCCGUCUACUCUUGGACAGCCUUCUGAAAGGAAGAUUAAUACAAGAUGGCAUCAUGAGUCCGCAUGUUCACAUGAUUAAAGGUAUUCCGGUAGACGAUGGGG